rnacentral:rRNA from 1 species
GAGUAAUGCCUAGGAAAUUGCCCUGAUGUGGGGGAUAACCAUUGGAAACGAUGGCUAAUACCGCAUGAUGCCUACGGGCCAAAGAGGGGGACCUUCGGGCCUCUCGCGUCAGGAUAUGCCUAGGUGGGAUUAGCUAGUUGGUGAGGUAAGGGCUCACCAAGGCGACGAUCCCUAGCUGGUCUGAGAGGAUGAUCAGCCACACUGGAACUGAGACACGGUCCAGACUCCUACGGGAGGCAGCAGUGGGGAAUAUUGCACAAUGGGCGCAAGCCUGAUGCAGCCAUGCCGCGUGUGUGAAGAAGGCCUUCGGGUUGUAAAGCACUUUCAGUCGUGAGGAAGG